rnacentral:rRNA from 1 species
UGAACGCUGUCGGCGUGCCUAAUACAUGCACGUCGAGCGAACAGACGAGGAGCUUGCUCCUCUGACGUUAGCGGCGGACGGGUGAGUAACACGUGGAUAACCUACCUAUAAGACUGGGAUAACUUCGGGAAACCGGAGCUAAUACCGGAUAAUAUAUUGAACCGCAUGGUUCAAUAGUGAAAGACGGUUUUGCUGUCACUUAUAGAUGGAUCCGCGCCGCAUUAGCUAGUUGGUAAGGUAACGGCUUACCAAGGCAACGAUGCGUAGCCGACCUGAGAGGGUGAUCGGCCACACUGGAACUGAGACACGGUCCAGACUCCUACGGGAGGCAGCAGUAGGGAAUCUUCCGCAAUGGGCGAAAGCCUGACGGAGCAACGCCGCGUGAGUGAUGAAGGUCUUCGGAUCGUAAAACUCUGUUAUUAGGGAAGAACAAAUGUGUAAGUAACUAUGCACGUCUUGACGGUACCUAAUCAGAAAGCCACGGCUAACUACGUG